GACGAACGCUGGCGGCGUGCCUAAUACAUGCAAGUCGAACGCAGUGGGGACGGGUGAGUAACACGUGGGUAACCUCCCAUCAGAGGGGAUAACACUUGGAAACAGGUGCUAAACCGAUACUGAUGGAUGAACCCGCGGUGCAUUAGCUAGUUGGUGAGGUAACGGCUCACCAAGGCCACGAGGCAUAGCAGACCGGAGAGGGGGAUCGGCCACACUGGGACUGAGACACGGCCCAGAGUCCGACGUGAGGCAGCAGUAGGGAAGCUUCGGCAAUGGACGAAAGUCUGAUCGAGCAACGCCGCGUGAGUGAAGAAGGUUUUCGGAGCGUAAAACUCUGUUGUUAGAGAAGCGGGAUCUAACCAGAAAGCCAGGGCUAACUACGUGCCAGCAGCCGCGGUAAUUG
rnacentral:rRNA from 1 species